rnacentral:SRP_RNA from 1 species
UCGUGCAGCCGGGGAACUAGCGGUGCCCUGUACCCGCAAUCCGCUUCAGCGGGGGUGAUGCCGAACAGAGGCGCUCGCCUCCGGAGGUCGUGGCUGGGCGGGACGCGAUGACGGCCAUGUCCCAUGCAACGCCGGGACGUGAACCGGGUCAGGUCCGGAAGGAAGCAGCCCUAAGCGGUCCCCCGUCGUGUGCCGUGGGGUCGCGUGGCCCGAGCUUCCCGCCCGAAGCGAUCGACGGGAGCGGCGACGACGGGAGGCGCACGA